GCGCCCGUAGCUCAACUGGAUAGAGCGUCGGACUUCGGAUCCGAAGGCUGGGGGUUCGAGUCCUCCCGGGCGCA
rnacentral:tRNA from 1 species